rnacentral:rRNA from 1 species
GGUGAGCUACCCCGAGACAGCCUAUAUUAAUUUAGGGCUAACCCGUCUCUGUGGCAAAAGAGUGGGAAGAGCUCCGGGUAGAAGUGAAAGACCUACCGAACCUGGUGAUAGCUGGUUGACUGAGAAAUGGAUAGAAGUUCAGCCUCGCACACCCCAAACCAAAAAAUAUUAUCACCAAGAUAUUAAGGGAAACGUACGAGAGUUAGUUAAAAGGGGUACAGCCCUUUUAACAAAGGAUACAACCUUUACAGGAGGAUAAAGAUCAUAAUGUAUAAGAUACACUGUUCUAGUGGGCCUGAAAGCAGCCACCUAAACAGAAAGCGUUAAAGCUCGGACAGAAGGAAGUUUAUUAUACUGAUAAAAAAUCUUAUUCCCCUAGCUAUAUCAGACCAACCCAUGCCUCCAUGGAAGAGAUUAUGCUAAAAUGAGUAAUAAGAAGACCCGCUCUUCUCCCAGCACAAGUGUAAACCAGAUCGGACUGACCACUGGAACUUAACGAACCCAACCCCAGAGGGUAGUGUGAUUAACAAAAAACUCAAGAAGGCCUCACAUAACUAAUCGUUAACCCCACACUGGAGUGCUAUUUUAAGGGAAAGACUAAAAGAAGGGGAAGGAACUCGGCAAACACAAGCCUCGCCUGUUUACCAAAAACAUCGCCUCCUGCAACUAAACUGAGUAUAGGAGGUCCAGCCUGCCCAGUGACUACAGGUUCAACGGCCGCGGUAUCUUGACCGUGCAAAGGUAGCGCAAUCACUUGUCUCUUAAAUAGAGACCUGUAUGAAUGGCUAGACGAGGGCUUAACUGUCUCCCCCUUCCAGUCAGUGAAAUUGAUCUAUCCGUGCAGAAGCGGGUAUAAAUAUACAAGACGAGAAGACCCUUUGGAGCUUAAGGUACAAAAUUCAGCCACGUUAAACAACUCUAUAAGAAGCAAGAACUUAGUGAUAAUGAAAUUUUACCUUCGGUUGGGGCGACCGCGGAGGAAAAACAAGCCUCCGAGUGGACUGGGCCGAAUCCCUGAAGCCAAUAGAGACAUCUAUAAGCCGCAGAACAUCUGACCAAAAAUGAUCCGGCUAAAAGCCGAUCAACGAACCAAGUUACCCAAGGGAUAACAGCGCAAUCCCCUCCCAGAGCCCAUAUCUACGAGGGGGUUUACGACCUCGAUGUUGGAUCAGGACAUCCUAAUGGUGC